UACGAAGGGUGCAAGCGUUGUUCGGAAUUACUGGGCGUAAAGGGUUCGUAGGCGGGAAUUUAAGUCAAUUGUGAAAUACCUAGCUUAACUUGGGACGUGCAGUUGAAACUGAGUUUCUUGAGUAUUGGAGAGGGUGGUGGAAUUGCUGGUGUAGGAGUGACAUCCGUAGAGAUCAGCAGGAACACCGGAGGCGAAAGCGACCACCUGGCCGAGAACUGACGCUGAGGAACGAAAGCGUGGGGAGCAAACAGG
rnacentral:rRNA from 1 species